CGUUUUUUUCCUAUGAAGUACAUUGUGUUGCAUUCCAUGUCUGAAAUGUGCUGUAUAAAUAAAGCUUGAUGUGAUUUGAUUUGAAAUCACAGGUAGGCCUUUUCAAAUAUGAGAAAAUCAUCCAUUCUAUGCAGUAUUCUGUUAUACACUGAACAGUGUGAAGUUGAAUUCAAUGGGUUGUAUUGAGUAGAAGUGUGAAUUUCAGUGACAGGUUUUUGGAGAGUGUUUAGAAAACGUGAGCAAGCGUCCGAGGAACAGGGCGAACAGGAUGCUAGGCCACAAAAAAAUGUUGACCAUGGUAUUGCGAAAACUACUCGGUAUCGUGAUACUUGGCCUGGUAUCGUAUUGUUUCUAGAAAUUGUACUCAUUUAAAUACACUUAUUCUGGUCUUAUAAUCUUUAAAGGAAUUAAAAUGGGGAGCCUCAUAACAGUGAUGAACGUACACAAUACUUGGGCGAUAUUACUAUUCCAUGCAAUUGCAUUCAGCUUUGGAAAUGAGAAGAUAUUGAGUCUUAUUUAGGCAAUCAAUAACAGUGAACAUUUUGUUUAAUGAAAACGAUCAUUUCAGCCUAUGGUAAUCACACUUUAGAGAGAUGUUUUGGUGUGAUGAUGAUUCUUGCAGUGGUAUGCACUUUUGUAAUAAAGAUAUUCUUAUCAAAAUCAUUAUUGACUUCGGGGGAGUUAUUACCCUGUUAAGAACCCUGUUAAAGAUCACUAGCUUUAUUCAUUACUUAUCGCAUGUACUCAUGAAUGAAUAUUGCUGAAUCAGAAUGGCUAUAGAUUCCGGGAAUGACCAUUAGAUAAUGGGGAAUAAUGAUAUCUGGACUCAGCUAAUUUGUGGAGUUAUCUCACCACCACUGCACCAAAAAACGUUUGACUUGACUUGCUGCAGCUGACAAGAAGUCAGUCUAAUUGUAAUUGGGGUAUUUACACUUCUGUCCAAAAUUCAAUAGAUACAUCAACAGUGAGUGGUUUGAAGUAGGGUUGGAUGAAAUUAACUAUAGCAGUAAAAAAUAUACUUUAUUUUAUUAGUGUUAGCACAGGGAAUUGCUGCUUUAAAAGCAAGGUUUGACUUCAUGAAGUUUAUUGUCGUAAUUAGAGAAAACCCGAAGCAUAUUAAUGUCACCCCUGGUGAAUAUAUUUAAUGUGUUUUGUAGCUACAUUUUAUCGGCUGAGGUUUUUAUUGGAGAUUAUAAUACCAAUAUUAUUUAUGGAAGCUUUGAUAGCAGGUCAAACUCAGAGCUGAUAUUCUGGCCAAACAACAUAUUAAUAUUACUAACUUCUCUCCCUUUCUCUCUCCCAGUCUCCUUAUGAAGAUAAGCAGAGUGUUUCAGUCUGUCCUGCUUCUUCAUCAUCUAGUGUGAAUGAUAAUAAAACACUAUGGCUAUGACUCAUAGUUGAGCUGAGUUUGAAAUAGAUUACAUCCCAGUCUGGCCACGCUUGUGAAAUACCUCUCAUGCCAUAUAUAUUGAUGACCAAAUUCAAUUACAUGAUUGCAUUCUCAGCCAAAACCUCUUCCCCUCAGUUUAAAUGAUUCAUUGCAUUGGAUUUAAAUAGUGAAUAGUUACAGUGGCAAGGUAGAGGUAAUAUUAGAAGGACCUCCGCUAGACAACAUAAAGAGUUAUUCGAAUCAGCAUGUUUGUCUGUCUGCAAAAUGGUGACACACAAUGUCCCUUGGGCAUGACAACAGACUGCUGCAAUAGACUGAUGCAAAGGACAGAACAGGGCAACCAUCUUAUUUUUUUAUUUAACCUUUAUUUAACUAGGCAAAUCAGUUAAGAACAAAUUCUUAUUUACAAUGACGGCCUAACUACUGAAGUAGUUUGUUCAUGUUUGAGAGCUUGAGCCGAUCACAGACUGAGCGGACUGACUGAUCUACAAAUAAUAACGAGCAGUUAUUUUGAAUCCAAGGUGAUUUGUAGAUCAGUCAUUAUGCAGACGCCGACUGCAAUGAAGUCGAUCUCAAACAUGAUCAUUGCGUUAAAUUGACAUGAGUUGUUUCCUGAUGGGUCUUUUGGAACACCUUCAGUUGAACAUACUGUCGAAUGUGUUCUCCUUAUCUAUAUUCAAUUUUUCUUUAGCCUAGAAACAAUGUAGAAAUAGUUAUGGUCCGCUGAAUGUUCAUGCAUGUUGAACAAAGGUGGAGUUGAAUGAGCUUGUGUAAUUGUCUGUUUUUAACAAUCGUUUGUUUUGAUUUAAUGAUAUUUGCUGAUUUAUCAGCCGGUCAGCUAAGCAUUUUUUUCUUAAUUAAUAUUGUUAGAAAUGCCAAUAGGACUAGGCAUGUUUUAUCAGUCGUCUUCCUCUUAAGAAUUUUGUGAUAAGAAAUCAAAUAGUUAUCGAUCUUGCCAUCGACCUCCACUAUUCUUUACCAAUGCAAUUCCUUUUCAUUUGUCUUGUCCUGUUUUCCUGGCUACUAUUCCCCUAGCUUCUUAGGUUCACUAUUUGUAAAGCUUCUCCUCUCAUGCAAGGUCAACUAUAAUCAACCCCAGACAAUGUCACUGGCUUCUGCAGCAACCAGGGUAUUCCUUUGGGGCUCUUAGGGCCCACUGCAUUCUACCAUUCAAUUACUGUUCAUUAGACAGUGUACAGCCAUUAAUCAAACUGAGAUGUUCUGCUAUUCUUCAAAGGGCCAUUGAACCAGGGAGGAAAAACACUGGCUGUUUAUCCUUGUUUCCUGUUCUGAGAUACUGUAGGAGCACAAAGAAGACACUCUGGGAUUCCCACUCGAUAUGUCUGUUUUAAACUUCUCCUCCACACUACAGCCUCGGAAUGUUAGAUUAAUAAACAGAGCGUGCUAGAGAUAUACCGUAGUAUUAGGAGUCAAAUAGAUAAUUUGGAGUAGUAACUUGACAGAUUUAGUGAAUGCUGCCCAUAUGCAUUGAAUCUGCCUGGAUAUGAUAUGAGGAACUGAUUUAUGUGCCUGUGUUCCAGGAGACUAAAGAGGAGGUGGAGGCGGUGUCGUCCUCAAAUCUGUGCGGAAUACGGUCACGGAUGUCCAAGUUCUUCAAGGAAAAAAGCAAAAAGUGACCAGCUUCCAGACCAAAAUGCCAUUUAUUCAGUCAGAGAAUUCUAAGAGCCAGAGUCAGAGAGUCCUGUAGUAACAGGAGCGGUCGAGGACAGCGUACCCCUUACGAGACCCACAUGUACGAGAUUAAAAAGUGUUAUAAACCAAAUAAAAAUGUUUGCGUCUUGACAGCCCCACCGUGG
rnacentral:lncRNA from 1 species